UUAAGCGAACAAGCGUACACGGUGGAUGCCCUGGCAGUCAGAGGCGAUGAAGGACGUGCUAAUCUGCGAAAAGCGCCGGUAAGGUGAUAUGAACCGUUAUAACCGGCGAUGUCCGAAUGGGGAAACCCGGUGCACUUCGGUGCAUCAUCGUUAGCUGAAUACAUAGGCUAACGAGGCGAACCGGGGGAACUGAAACAUCUAAGUACCCCGAGGAAAAGAAAUCAACCGAGAUUCCCCCAGUAGCGGCGAGCGAACGGGGAACAGCCCAGAGCCUGAAUCAGCUUGUGUGUCAGUGGAACGGUCUGGAAAGGCCGGCGAUACAGGGUGACAGCCCCGUACACGAAGGCACACAGGCUGUGAGCUCGAUGAGUAGGGCGGGACACGUGAUAUCCUGUCUGAAGAUGGGGGGACCAUCCUCCAAGGCUAAAUACUCCUGACUGACCGAUAGUGAACCAGUACCGUGAGGGAAAGGCGAAAAGAACCCCGGCGAGGGGAGUGAAACAGAACCUGAAACCGUGUACGUACAAGCAGUGGGAGCCUUCGUAAGAGGGUGACUGCGUACCUUUUGUAUAAUGGGUCAGCGACUUAUAUUCUGUAGCAAGGUUAACCGUAUAGGGGAGCCGAAGGGAAACCGAGUCUUAACCGGGCGUUAAGUUGCAGGGUAUAGACCCGAAACCCGGUGAUCUAGCCAUGGGCAGGUUGAAGGUUGGGUAACACUAACUGGAGGACCGAACCGACUAAUGUUGAAAAAUUAGCGGAUGACCUGUGGCUGGGGGUGAAAGGCCAAUCAAACCGGGAGAUAGCUGGUUCUCCCCGAAAGCUAUUUAGGUAGCGCCUCGUGAACUCAUCUCCGGGGGUAGAGCACUGUUUCGGCUAGGGGGCCAUCCCGGCUUACCAACCCGAUGCAAACUGCGAAUACCGGAGAAUGUUAUCACGGGAGACACACGGCGGGUGCUAACGUCCGUCGUGAAGAGGGAAACAACCCAGACCGCCAGCUAAGGUCCCAAAGUCAUGGUUAAGUGGGAAACGAUGUGGGAAGGCCCAGACAGCCAGGAUGUUGGCUUAGAAGCAGCCAUCAUUUAAAGAAAGCGUAAUAGCUCACUGGUCGAGUCGGCCUGCGCGGAAGAUGUAACGGGCUAAACCAUGCACCGAAGCUGCGGCAGCGACGCUUAUGCGUUGUUGGGUAGGGGAGCGUUCUGUAAGCCUGCGAAGGUGUGCUGUGAGGCAUGCUGGAGGUAUCAGAAGUGCGAAUGCUGACAUAAGUAACGAUAAAGCGGGUGAAAAGCCCGCUCGCCGGAAGACCAAGGGUUCCUGUCCAACGUUAAUCGGGGCAGGGUGAGUCGACCCCUAAGGCGAGGCCGAAAGGCGUAGUCGAUGGGAAACAGGUUAAUAUUCCUGUACUUGGUGUUACUGCGAAGGGGGGACGGAGAAGGCUAUGUCGGCCGGGCGACGGUUGUCCCGGUUUAAGCGUGUAGGCUGACUUUCCAGGCAAAUCCGGAAAGUUAAGGCUGAGGCGUGAUGACGAGGCACCACGGUGCUGAAGUGACAAAUGCCCUGCUUCCAGGAAAAGCCUCUAAGCAUCAGGUAACAUCAAAUCGUACCCCAAACCGACACAGGUGGUCAGGUAGAGAAUACCAAGGCGCUUGAGAGAACUCGGGUGAAGGAACUAGGCAAAAUGGUGCCGUAACUUCGGGAGAAGGCACGCUGACAUGUAGGUGAAGCCCCUGCGGGUGGAGCUGAAGUCAGUCGAAGAUACCAGCUGGCUGCAACUGUUUAUUAAAAACACAGCACUGUGCAAACACGAAAGUGGACGUAUACGGUGUGACGCCUGCCCGGUGCCGGAAGGUUAAUUGAUGGGGUUAUCGCAAGAGAAGCUCCUGAUCGAAGCCCCGGUAAACGGCGGCCGUAACUAUAACGGUCCUAAGGUAGCGAAAUUCCUUGUCGGGUAAGUUCCGACCUGCACGAAUGGCGUAAUGAUGGCCAGGCUGUCUCCACCCGAGACUCAGUGAAAUUGAACUCGCUGUGAAGAUGCAGUGUACCCGCGGCAAGACGGAAAGACCCCGUGAACCUUUACUACAGCUUGACACUGAACAUUGAGCCUUGAUGUGUAGGAUAGGUGGGAGGCUUUGAAGCGUGGACGCCAGUCUGCGUGGAGCCGACCUUGAAAUACCACCCUUUAAUGUUUGAUGUUCUAACCUGGCGCCAUAAUCUGGCGUGGGGACAGUGUCUGGUGGGUAGUUUGACUGGGGCGGUCUCCUCCCAAAGUGUAACGGAGGAGCACGAAGGUCAGCUAAUCCUGGUCGGACAUCAGGAGGUUAGUGCAAUGGCAUAAGCUGGCUUGACUGCGAGAGUGACGGCUCGAGCAGGUGCGAAAGCAGGUCAUAGUGAUCCGGUGGUUCUGUAUGGAAGGGCCAUCGCUCAACGGAUAAAAGGUACUCCGGGGAUAACAGGCUGAUACCGCCCAAGAGUUCAUAUCGACGGCGGUGUUUGGCACCUCGAUGUCGGCUCAUCACAUCCUGGGGCUGAAGUAGGUCCCAAGGGUAUGGCUGUUCGCCAUUUAAAGUGGUACGCGAGCUGGGUUUAGAACGUCGUGAGACAGUUCGGUCCCUAUCUGCCGUGGGCGCUGGAGAAUUGAGGGGGGCUGCUCCCAGUACGAGAGGACCGGAGUGGACGCAUCACUGGUGUUCGGGUUGUCAUGCCAAUGGCACUGCCCGGUAGCUAAAUGCGGAAGAGAUAAGUGCUGAAAGCAUCUAAGCACGAAACUUGCCCCGAGAUGAGUUCUCCCUGAGACUAUAAGUCUCCUGAAGGAACGUUGAAGACGACGACGUUGAUAGGCCGGGUGUGUAAGCGCAGCGAUGCGUUGAGCUAACCGGUACUAAUGAACCGUGAGGCUUAACCUU
rnacentral:rRNA from 1 species